rnacentral:rRNA from 1 species
GUGAGGAAUUUUCCGCAAUGGGCGAAAGCCUGACGGAGCAAUGCCGCGUGAAGGAUGAAGGCCUAUGGGUUGUAAACUUCUUUUCUCAGAAAAGAAUUAUGACGGUAUCUGAGGAAUAAGCAUCGGCUAACUCUGUGCCAGCAGCCGCGGUAAGACAGAGGAUGCAAGCGUUAUCCGGAAUGAGUGGGCGUAAAGCGUCUGUAGGUUGUUUAAAAAGUAUUCUGUCAAAGAUUAGGGCUUAACCCUAGAUAGGCAGAAUAAACUUUUAAGCUAGAGUUUGGUAGAGGCAGAGGGAAUUCCCGGUGGAGCGGUGAAAUGCGUAGAUAUCGUGAGGAACACCAAAGGCGAAGGCACUCUGCUGGGCCAAUACUAACACUGAGAGACGAAAGCGAGGGGAGCAAAUGGGAUUAGAAACCCGUGUAGUCC